GGAAAAGAAAGAAGGACUGGCCUCCAGGCUUCCUUACUUCCUGUCCUAAUUCCCUCAAAGUGGCCCGCCUCCUCCUCCUCCUCUGCUUCCCCUGGGCCCCACCCAGCGGAUGGGGGAUGUUUACACAUCUGACCCGGUGACCCAUAUUCCAGGCGGUAAGGAGCUGGGAGGGAGGCUGGCAGGUUCUGAAAGGCCGCAGCCAUUCCUCCUGAAGCAAAGGCCGGUGAUGGAGCUCUGAGUGUUGGGCCCACGGAACUUUCUAGAGGUGUGUGCAGCCUCCACCCGUGUUUGCUGUGAGGUCACCGGGCUCAGCACUGGGGCAGUAGGAGAGGAGCAGAGCCAGGAGAUUUGGGCUGCAGUGGUCCCUGGACUCUGGGGUGCGCAGGGCUUGCGCCCUAGCUUUUCCUUCUCCCAAUCCAAAGGGCACAGCCAUCCUCACUCACCACCCCCACUGCCAGAGCGACCAUCAUCCAGGGCAGAGGCCACCUUCUGGCUGGACCUCUCCCUUCUUCUCUCCGUCCCUCAGCUCGGGAGCAGUUGGCUCUGCCUCCCCGGCUGGUGCCUCUCAGUGGAGGGCAGACGAGCAGUGCGUGCUCAGGACCACCCUGCAGCCUGGGCUCCUCGCCCGUCGCGGUCACUCUAGCAUGGCACCCCUCCAGCUGGGGGGAGCUGGGGGAAGCUGGCUAGACUGCGAGUCUGACCCUUGACUCGUGGGUCCAGCAGGAGACAGUUCCUCGAACUUUUCACAGAGGACCUGCCUGGGCCCAGGUCCUGUGUCCAUAACUGUCCUUCAAAUAGACGCUGCAUCAUUCAGUCAAAUAAUUAGGGACAUCCAGGCCAGGCGCCACAGUGGUAAAGAAUCUGCCUGCCCAUGCAGGAGAUGCCAGAGACGCAGACAGGGGAAACUGGCGGGCUACAGUCCAUGGGGUCACAAAAGAAUCAGACACAACUGAGCGACUGAGCAUCCUCACCCUGGAUAAGACGGUGUAGACAGGUCCCUUCCUGCUCCUCUCUGCAAAACACAGCUACAAACCCUGGGGUGAUGCAGGAGGCAACCAAAGGGGGUUCUGACGACUGGAAAGAAGGUGAGCUGAUCAGGGAUCACAAGGCUGAGUCUGAAUGGGAAACAGCUGGGCAUCUAUGAUCCCCCAGGCCCCUGUCCCGACCCAACAGAAGCAGGCGACCCAGGUGUGCCUUCCUCAAGCAGGCUCACUGCUCUCCUGGACUGACCCGAAGCCUCACCAAACACAAGCUCUACCAGGCAGAACCAGCAAGGGGACCGACCCGG
ensembl:lncRNA